UAUUUUAUUAAAAAUAAUUAUAUAAAGAAAAUUUGUAGUAUUGUAUAAAAAAUAAAUAAUUUUAAUUAUAGAUGAUUAGUAUUGUGAAAUAAAAUUGAAAUAUUAUGAAAAAAUAUUAUUAAAAAAGAAAAUUUUAUUAAUUGUACCUUUUGUAUCAGGGUAUAUCAAAUAAAUAUUAUUUAUAAAUAAUUUUCUCGAUUUUAAAAGAUUUAAUAAAUUAUAAAAGUUAUUGUGGUAAAAUUAUUUUUAAUAAUUUAUUAGAAAUGAAAUGUUAUUCGUUUUUAAUGGUAUCUAGUUUUUUUAGAAUUAAAUUUAAUUUAGAAAUAGAAUUAAAAAUAUUUAAAUAUUAAAUUAUUUUAAUUUUUUAUUUUACAAUUAUAUGGGAUAAGCUAUAUAAUUAAAUUACAAAUUAUUAAAUUUUUAUAAUAUAUAUAUGCUUAUAAAUAGCAAUUAUUAAUAAUUAUGUUAUAAUUUAUAUUAGAAUAAAUAUGAUUUAAUAUAUUUUAAUUUUUUAUAAAAAUUUAUAUAUAAAUAGUUUAUAUAUAGAAAUAAUGAUAUAAUUAGUAUAUUUUUAUGUAAAUAUAAAUUUAAUUGAUAGGUUAAAUUAAAGAAUUCGGCAAAAAUUAAUAUUCACCUGUUUAACAAAAACAUGUCUUUUUGAAUUUAAUAUAAAGUCUAACCUGCCCACUGAAAAUUUUAAAUGGCCGCAGUAUCCUAACUGUGCAAAGGUAGCAUAAUCAUUAGUCUUUUAAUUGAAGGCUGGUAUGAAUGGUUGAAUGAAAUAUUAACUGUUUCAAUUUAAUUUUAUUUAGAAUUUUAUUUUUUAGUUAAAAAGCUAAAAUUUAAUUAAAAGACGAGAAGACCCUAUAAAUCUUUAUAAUUAUAAUUUUAUUAAUAUAUAGAUAAUUUAAUUAAUAAUAAAAUUAAUUAUUUUAUUGGGGUGAUAUUAAAAUUUAAUAAACUUUUAAUUUUUAAAAAACAUUAAUUUAUGAGUGAUUGAUCCAUUAUUAUGAUUAAAAAAUUAAGUUACUUUAGGGAUAACAGCGUAAUUUUUUUAGAGAGUUCAUAUUGAUAAAAAAGAUUGCGACCUCGAUGUUGGAUUAAGAUAUAAAUUUAGGUGCAGUAGUUUAAAUUUAAAGUCUGUUCGACUUAUAGUUUCUUACAUGAUCUGAGUUCAGACCGGCGUAAGCCAGGUUGGUUUCUAUCUUUAAUAAAUAAAAUAUUUUAGUACGAAAGGACCAAAUAUUUGAAUUAUAAAUUUUUAAAAUAGAAUAUUAUUAAUA
rnacentral:rRNA from 1 species